rnacentral:tRNA from 2 species
GUGGGUAUAGCUCAGUUGGUUAGAGCACCAGAUUGUGAUUCUGGGUGUCGGGGGUUCAAGUCCCCUUACUCACCCCA